AUAGUAAUAUUGCUUUCAUAGUAUUUUUUUCUUAGUACAUAAACUUAGGAAGCCACUGACCAUUUGGUUAGAAUUAAGAUUUGCAAUUUUAAAUGCUCAGUUUUCCUUAAAUGAUUAGCGUUGCUAUAAGUUAAAUACUGGCUCAAUUUUCCUUAAAUGAUUAGCGUUGCUAUAAGUUAAAUACUAAUUUGUUUUCCCUUUCUUUUCGUUUGUUGCACAUGUGAAAACUCCAUUUGAGUCUACUUCGGACUCCCCUCCUUGCAUAUCUUCGAGUUAAAUUUCCUCGGGUCAGCUUCAUCUUGUUCGAGUGAAAGGGGAGAAAUUACAGGGGCAGGGACUGAUUUGCAGGUCUUGGAGAAAUCCAAAAUGGACUAUACACGUGCCGAUAUACGCUAUGAUACACUAGUAUACAUGAUAUACAGGCCAAAGGACAGUGUAUACAUGGUUAAAAACGAAAUUACAGGUGUUCGGAAGAUGAAAUAGAGUGUAUGCAUUUAGUAUAUGGGCUGGUAUACAAUAAAACAGUCCAGUAUACAGCCCAUAUACGAUGGUAUACGAUCAGUGUAUACGUUGGCAUUUGGACACGAAAAUGGGCUAAAAGCCCAAAUUUUAUAUCUCUUCCCUUUUGCUCUUAUCUAUUUGCUUGUUAUGUCGACUAACAUUUAUUUGUGAAUUGGUUUUAACUUAAUUAAAUUCCCGAAGAUGACCAUUUC
rnacentral:lncRNA from 1 species